UACGAAGGGGGCUAGCGUUGCUCGGAAUCACUGGGCGUAAAGGGCGCGUAGGCGGCUUGCCAAGUCGGGGGUGAAAGCCCGUGGCUCAACCACGGAAUGGCCUUCGAUACUGGCAGGCUUGAGACCGGAAGAGGACAGCGGAACUGCGAGUGUAGAGGUGAAAUUCGUAGAUAUUCGCAAGAACACCAGUGGCGAAGGCGGCUGUCUGGUCCGGUUCUGACGCUGUGGCGCGAAAGCUAGGGGAGCAAACGGG
rnacentral:rRNA from 1 species